CCUGCCUGCUAGUAAGCUUAAGCACUCAAGCCAAAUUCAAAAUCUUGUAUUUAUAAACAGAGAUCUGAUAACAGUUGCCUAAGCAUCCACGAUGCUUUGCCAGCGCACGCACAUCGAGAUGAUCCGAAGGGCCUGUCCUGGGGUUAGCUCACACAGAGGACAGCUCAGGCUCCCUGUUCCAAGUAAUGCCUCACAAGGACCCUCACAAUCUCCUUUGUGUUGGUUUAGUUUGAAGGAGAAGGACAAGGACGGGUAGAUCUGCACUUCUGAGGGAUGCAACCUGUCCUCUGGCAUCCACAGAGGCAGAGGAUCAAGAGGCCACAGAGGAGGGCUGUAGAUAUUGCUAAUAACUGACUUCAGGUCACAAAGCACAUUGUAGAGUGGAUGGUGAUGGGAUUUCAGCUGCUGACGACAAGCAAGAAACAAAGGUUAAAAAAAUACCUAUAACCUUAUGAUUUCCUGAGAAAAUAAGGUGCACAUGAUGACAGCUUACAAAAAAAAUCUGCUGUCCUAAUAAAAACCUACUGCAAUCCA